GUUAUCAUCAACCGUAUCAGUGCUGCCCUCCAGUUUCAUAAUAAAAAUCCGGAAAGAUUGUUCAACGAAAAACAAUUCUGGGAUAUGUGUGGUACACCAAAUUGAAGGCUCGGAUCUCCCCUUUAAUUAUCUAUACACACUUUUUUGAUCGAAGUCUAUUUAUGUCUUUCCAACUGGAUUUUGUCUCUUGCCCUCCAGCUUCAGAAUAGAAAUCUGGAAGGAUUGUUCUACGAAAAAUAGUUCUGGGAACGAAGUCCAUUUAUGGCUUCCAGACUGGAUUUUGUGUCCUGCCAUUUAGUUUCAAAAUCAACAUCUGGAAGGAUAGUUCUACGAAAAACAGUUCUGUUGUAUGUGUGGCAUAGCUGAUCGCCCCUUUAUUUUGGUAUACGCAUUUUUUUGAACGAAGUUCAUUUAUGGUCUCUUGACUGAAUUUUGUGUCCUGCCCUCCAGUUUGGUAACAGAAAACUUAAACGUUUGUUCUACGCAAAACAGUUCCGGGAUAUGUGUUGUAUACCAAAUUAAAGACUCGGAUAUCCCCUUUAAUUUCGUAUACACACCUUUUUGAUCGAAGUCCAUUUAUGGCUUCCAGACUGGAUUUAGUGUCCUCCCAUUCAGUUUCAAAAUCGAAAUCUCGAAGGAUUGUCCUACGAAAAACAGUCCUGGUGUAUGUGUGGCAUACCAAAUUGAAGAUGCUAAUCGUCCCUUUAUUUUGGUAUACGCAUUUUUUUUUUAACAAAAUCCAUUUAUGGCUUCCAGACUGGAUUUAGUGUCCUGCACUCCAGUUUCAAAAUAAAAAUUUGAAAGGAUUGUUCUACGAAAAACAGUUCUGGGGUAUCUGUGGCACACCAAAUUAAAGGUGCUGAUCGUCCCUUUAAUAAGAUGUACGCGGUUUUUUGAAUGAAGUCCAUUUAUGGCUUCCACACUGGAUUUAGUGUCCUGCCCUCGGGUUUCAAAAUAGAAAACUGGAAUGAUUGUUCUAUGAAACACAAUUCUGGGGUAUGUGUGGUAUACCGAAUUGAAGGUGCUGAUCUCUUCUUUAAUUUGGUAUACGCGCUUUUUCGAACGAAGUCCAUGUAUGGUUUCCUAACUGGAUUUAGUGUCCGUCCCUCGAGUUACCAAAUAGAAAACUGGAAAGAUUGUUCUACGAAAAACAGGUCUGGGGUAUGUGUGAUACACCAUAUUAAAGGUGUUGAUCUACCCUUUAAUGUGAUGUACGUGGUUUUUUGAAUGAAGUCCAUUAAUGGCUUCUACGCUAGAUUUAGUGUCUACCAAAUUGAAGGUGUUGAUCUUCCCUUCAAUUUGUAUACACACUUUUUUGAACGAAGUCCAUUUAUGGCUCCUAAACUGGAUUUAGUGUCCUGCACUCCAGUUUCAAAAUAGAAAUCUACAAAAAACAGUUCUAGUGUAUGCGUGGCACACCAAAUUAAAGGUGCUGAUCGUUCUUUAUUUUGGUAUACGCACUUUGAACGAAGUCCAUUUUUGACUUCCAGACUAGAUUUUGUGCCCUGCCCUCCACUUUCAAAAUAGAAAUCUGGAAGGAUUGUUCUAUGAUAAACAACUCAGGGGUAUGUUUGGUACACCAAAUUGAAGGUGCUGAUCUCUUCUUUAAUUUGGUAUACUCACUUUUUUGAACGAAGUCCAUUCAUGGCUUCCACACUGGAUUUAGUGUCCUGCCCUCCGCUGUCGAAAUAGAAAUCUGGAAAGAUUGUUCUACGAAAAACAAUUCCGGGGUAUAUGUGGUACAUCAUAUUAAAGGUGUUGAUCUUCCCUUCAAUUUGAAUACGCGCUUUUUUGAACGAAGUCUAUUUAUGGCUCCUAGACUGGAUUUAUUGUCCUGCACUCGAGUUUCAAAAUAAAAAAACUGGAAGGAUUGUUCUACGAAAAACAGUUCUGGGUGUGUGUGAUGCACCAUAUUAAAGACGUUGAUCUCUCCUUUAAUGUGAUGUACGCGCUUUUUUGAAUGAAGUCCAUUUAUGGCUUUUACACUGGAUUUAGUGUCUACGAAAAAUAAUUCUGGGGUAUGUGUGGUACACCAAAUUGAAGAUGUUGAUCUUCCCUUCAAAUUGUAUACUCGAUUUUUGAACGAAGUCCAUUUAUAGCUCCUAGACUGGAUUUGAUGUCCUGCCCUCCACUUUCUAAAUACAAAUCUGGAAGGAUUGUUCUACGAAAAACAGUUCUGGGGUAUAUGUGGUACAUCAUAUUAAAGCUCCUACACUGGAUUUAAUGUCCUGCCCUCCACUUUCUAAAUACAAAUCUGGAAGGAUUGUUCUACGAAAAACAGUUCUGGGGUAUCUGUGGCACACCAAAUUAAAGGUGCUGGUCGUCCCUUUAUUUUGGUAUACGCACAUCUUUGAACGAAGUCCAUUAAUGGCUUCCACACUGGAUUUUGUGCCCUGCCCUCGAGUUUCAAAAUAGAAAUCUGGAAGGAUUGUUCUGCAAAAACAGUUGCAGUUGGUGUAUGUGUGGCACACCAAAUUUUGGUGUACUCACUUUUUCCAGUCCAUUUCCAUUUAUUGCUUCCAGACUGGAUUUUGUAUCCUGCCCUCCGCUUUCAAAAUAGAAAUCUGGAAGGAUUUUUCUAUGAAAAACAGUUCUGGGGUAUGUGUGGUGCACCAUAGGUGUUGAUCCUCCAAUUGAUUUGGUAUACGCGCUUUUUUUAACGAAGUCCAUUUAUGGCUUCUACACUGGAUUUAGUGCCCUGCACUCGAGUUUCAAAAUAGAAAUCUGAAAGGAUUGUUCUACGAAAAACGGUUCUUUGUAUACGUGUGAGUGGUACACCAUAUUAAAGGUUUUGAUCUCUCCUCUAAUGUGGUAUACGCACGUUUUUGAAGGAAGUCCAUUUACGGCUUAUACACUGGAUUUAGUGUAUACGAAAAUCAUUUCUGGGGUAUAUGUGGUACACCAAAUUAAAGGUGUUGAUCUUCCCCUAAUUUUGGUGUAUGCAUUUUUUUUGAACGAAGUCCAUUUGUGAUCACCAGACUGAAUUUUGUGUCUUGCCCUCCAAUUUCUAAAUCUGUAAGUUUUAAAUUAAAGGUAUUGUUCUCCUCUUUAAUUUGGUGUAUGCGAAAGUAAAUAACUCACAGCGAAAUUGUCUGGCGACCGAAACUAAAAACGCUUUAUAAUUUCCGAACUUUUUUAAUUUUUAUUACUUUGUGUCACCCUGUUAUUAUAUCGAUUAUAUCUAUGUACGUCGCUAACUUCACGCAGGUUUAUAAUUAGGAACUAUAACACACACAAACAACAAAAAUGGCGCGAACUAGUAACAUACUCAAAAUCAGAGAUGCACUAAUCACUGAUUUUGACAGAUAGUGAACACAAUAUUUUGUUGUUUGGCAAAUGCCAUUACCUGUAAAUUAAUAUAUCCUGAUUGUACGUACCGCAGUGACCACACUGCUACAACAACAAAAUAAAAGUGUAAGAGCUAUAUGUGCUAACAAUUGUUAUUUAAGUCCAUCUCUGUGGUGUUCAUUGCUGUCACGAGAAGCUUGGCUGGGAGCUACCGGACGCGUCCACAGGUUGCGGAUAGUGGAAUGCUCCAUAUGGAGAAGCUGCAACGGCAGUCGCGGAAAAUUAGCGGUGACGAGCGGAGAGUCUUAGUGAGCGGCCAUGUGGCCAUGUAUUGCACAAAUACUGAGUGCCUAUGAUGCUCGAUAUGACAAGGCGAGUUGUUGGCGCCUUUAAAUAAUCAAUAGUCUUCGCGGCGAUCGGUCCUUUGGACAGGAACGAGCUUGUUCACAUAGAAGCUUGACGAGGAUCGCCUCCUCCACAUGAAAAUGUGGCUACAACAGCAACAACAACUAUCAACACAGUCAUGAUCACAUCGGGACCAGUCUCUGAUCUCACCAAUAAAGAACUAUCGAAUGUAGUUCUUAGGAAGAAAACACCAUCAGCUGCUGGUAUGGGCGGCAUUACCUAUGAAAUGGUUAGUCAACUAACCAGUAAAUCAAAAGCGAACCUCCUCGCAGCAAUAAAUGCAGCUUAGAAAUACUGUGAUAUUAGCAAUAAUUGGCGUAAAAUUACGAUUGUAUACUAGAUGUACCGACAGCUUAUGAUUGCGUCAAAAUACAAGCACUACAUACAAUACUUUCGGAACUCAAGUGUCCAUGCGAGAUCCUUAUUACAAACUUCCUGAAACAUCGAACUCUUGUUGUGGGUUAUGAAUGGCUUGAUAAUUACAAUGGGCUUCCACAGGGCAGCUAUCUAAGUCCAAUGUUAUUUAACAUCUACACAAUUGGCUUACACGGCACUGUAAAUCCACAAACACACCUAUAUCAGUUCGCUGAUGAUUUCAUUAAACCCGCAAUAAAGCGCAGAAAAAACUGUGGUUAGGUAUGUGGCUAAAAGCGGAAGUAAAACCCCAGACAUCUGCAUUGGUAACACUAGAAUCACAAAUGUUACAAAAAUAAAGUUUCUUAGCAGACACAUCAAGAACAGCCUGACCGUUAAAGAUCACUAUGAAGAAGUGAUUUCGACUUGCAGCCCUGCUCUAAAAAUGAUAAAAACAGAAAAACAUGGCUACACCCCACAAUAAGACUUAACCUGUCGAAGUCCCUUCCUUUUUCGAAAACUGAAUAUUCAAUCU